CUUUCUUUGCUGGCGACCGGCGCACGGGUGAGUAACACGUAUCCAACCUGCCGAUAACUCGGGGAUAGCCUUUCGAAAGAAAGAUUAAUACCCGAUGGCAUAAUAGAACCGCAUGGUUUGAUUAUUAAAGAAUUUCGGUUAUCGAUGGGGAUGCGUUCCAUUAGGCAGUUGGUGGGGUAACGGCCCACCAAACCUUCGAUGGAUAGGGGUUCUGAGAGGAAGGUCCCCCACAUUGGAACUGAGACACGGUCCAA
rnacentral:rRNA from 1 species